CGAUAUAGUUUGUUAUUGCUUGUACAAAGAUGUUUUCAGGGAUGUUUCAAAAUCCUAAGUACACACCUGGGGUGUUUUUCCAGCCGGCAGAAGUUUCUGCAUGUUGCGUCGUUUUCACGCGCGCACUGGCAGCGGGGCGCGCUGAUGGUUGUGGAGUCCGCAACCGCGCGCUUCGUCCUGGGAGCACUGCCCAGUCCGUAUGAGACCACGCGCCUGGAGCAAAAAAGAGACACAGUUUGAAUUAAACAUCUGAAAUGAACGAUUAAAGCUGUUUGUGAGGAUUAAGUAUCGGCUUUAAUAGGAUGGGCAGAUCAGAAAAUGAAAGACACAAGUCAAUGAAGAGAAACUGCAUUCCAAUUGUGGAUCAACACUGUUUGAAAAGGGGCACACCCAUACCAUGGUGUCCCAUAUUUGUUGACUUGGCUCUGCUGUAGUGAUUCAGCUAAGUGUUUUUAAGGGCAUGUUGCAUAAGGUUACCAGUGCCCUGUCACAGUUUCCUGGCUUAUGUAGGUAUUUCCCAUAAGAUGAGGUCAGGGUUCCUUCAAGGACUCAGGCAUAAUUAGAUUGAGGAGCGCCUUGUCUUUUAAAAAAGUUAAUCCGUUCACGGCACAAACAUGCAAGGAAUAUUUAAAGCACCAAGCGGUUGCAAGUUGCACACUUUAAAAACAAACUGUGAUUUGUUUAAGUUAAUCCCAAAUGACUUCAUGAUUAAAAAUAACAAACAAACAUUGGGCCUAAGCUGUUAAACCAUGUGACUCAUGUACAGAGGUUAGAGUUCUUGAAGUGGGCUGCCCAUCUUUGAUUGAUACCGGUGGUCCACUCUCUCCUAGUUGCCUACUCUGUCCACUCUCCUGUCCUCUAAAUAAAGGCGUAAAAGCCCAAAAAUAAACAAAAAACCCCACAAUUGUUUAAACUGCAGUGGAAAGACACGGAGAAGGAUUAGUUCU